rnacentral:rRNA from 1 species
GACGAACGCUGGCGGCGUGCCUAAUACAUGCAAGUUGAGCGAUGAAGAUUGGUGCUUGCACCAAUUUGAAGAGCAGCGAACGGGUGAGUAACGCGUGGGGAAUCUGCCUUUGAGCGGGGGACAACAUUUGGAAACGAAUGCUAAUACCGCAUAACAACUUUAAACAUAAGUUUUAAGUUUGAAAGAUGCAAUUGCAUCACUCAAAGAUGAUCCCGCGUUGUAUUAGCUAGUUGGUGAGGUAAAGGCUCACCAAGGCGAUGAUACAUAGCCGACCUGAGAGGGUGAUCGGCCACAUUGGGACUGAGACACGGCCCAAGCUCCUACGGGAGGCAGCAGUAGGGGAUCUUCGGCGAUGGACGAAGGUCUGACCGAGCAACGCCGCGUGAGUGAAGAAGGUUUUCGGAUCGUAAAACUCUGUUGGUAGAGAAGAACGUUGGUGAGAGUGGAAAGCUCAUCAAGUGACGGUAACUAACCAGAAAGGGACGGCUAACUACGUG